AUGUGGAUCCCCCUUGGGAUCAGGGAUCCUCCUUAUGGGGUCAGGGAUCCCCCCCCAGGUUUUGGGAUCCCCCCCGCGGGAUGCAGAUCCCUCUGGAUCAGGGAUCCCCCAGGAUCGGGGAUCCCCCUGCAGGCUGUGGAUCCCCCCCCCAUGAGUUCGGGGAUCCCCCCGGGGUCCCGGCGCGUUUCCCUCUCCGCCCCGAUGCGGUUGACGACUGCCGUGGGGCCCAGCCUGGAUCCACCGGAUCCCCCCUGGAUCCCCGGGCUGGGCUCUGCGAGGUGGCCGGGGCCGGGACCCCCCUGCUGCCGCUGCCACCACCGCCACCGCCUGGUGCCCGAGCCGCCCCCGACGCCCCAAUCUGCCCCCGUGCGCGGUGCUGCACGUGCCAAGAGCCUGGGCCAUGCACGGUGCUGCACGGCCCUGAUCAGCCCCCGUGCGUGGUGCUGCACAAUCCUGGUCCCCCGUGCAUGGUGCUGCACAAUCCUGGUCCCCUGUGCACGGUGCUGCACGGCCCUGAUCAGCCCCCGUGCACGGCGCUGCACGUCCUCAGUGCCCCGUGCGCGGUGCUGCACAAUCCUGGUCCCCUGUGCACGGCGCUGCACGGCCCCAGUCCCUCGUGCACGGCGCUGCACGUCCUCAGUGCCCCAUGCACGGUGCUGCACAGCCCUGAUGUCCCGUGCACGGUGCUGCACAUCCCACGGGCCUGUGCUGUGCACGGCGCUGCGCGUCCCUGAUCAGGCCCCGUGCACGGCGCUGCACGUCCCCGGUGCCCCGUGCACAGCGCUGCACAGCCCCAAUCUGCCCCUGCGCACGGCGCUGCACAGCCCCAGUCCCCCGCGCACGGCGCUGCACGUCCCCAAGCGCAGCCGCGCGCGGUGCCGGUGGCAGUCGGUGGCAGUCGGUGGCAGUCGGUGGCGGCGGUCACCUCGCGGCGGUCGUCCCCGGGGCGGCGGCGGCGGCGGCAGCGGCGGCUCCGCGACGGCUCUGAAGCUGCCUCUCUUCUCUCCCCAGACUGUGUGCGGAUAG
rnacentral:lncRNA from 1 species